CGUCACACUAUCAUUAACUGAAUCCAUAGGUUAAUGAGGCGAACCGGGGGAACUGAAACAUCUAAGUACCCCGAGGAAAAGAAAUCAACCGAGAUUCCCCCAGUAGCGGCGAGCGAACGGGGAGGAGCCCAGAGCCUGAAUCAGCAUGUGUGUUAGUGGAAGCGUCUGGAAAGGUGCGCGAUACAGGGUGACAGCCCCGUACACAAAAGCGCAUGUGCUGUGAGCUCGAUGAGUAGGGCGGGACACGUGGUAUCCUGUCUGAAUAUGGGGGGACCAUCCUCCAAGGCUAAAUACUCCUGACUGACCGAUAGUGAACCAGUACCGUGAGGGAAAGGCGAAAAGAACCCCGGCGAGGGGAGUGAAAAAGAACCUGAAACCGUGUACGUACAAGCAGUGGGAGCACAGGUUUACCUGUGUGACUGCGUACCUUUUGUAUAAUGGGUCAGCGACUUAUAUUCUGUAGCAAGGUUAACCGUAUAGGGGAGCCGUAGGGAAACCGAGUCUUAACCGGGCGUUAAGUUGCAGGGUAUAGACCCGAAACCCGGUGAUCUAGCCAUGGGCAGGUUGAAGGUUGGGUAACACUAACUGGAGGACCGAACCGACUAAUGUUGAAAAAUUAGCGGAUGACCUGUGGCUGGGGGUGAAAGGCCAAUCAAACCGGGAGAUAGCUGGUUCUCCCCGAAAGCUAUUUAGGUAGCGCCUCGUGAAUUCAUCUCCGGGGGUAGAGCACUGUUUCGGCUAGGGGGCCAUCCCGGCUUACCAACCCGAUGCAAACUGCGAAUACCGGAGAAUGUUAUCACGGGAGACACACGGCGGGUGCUAACGUCCGUCGUGAAGAGGGAAACAACCCAGACCGCCAGCUAAGGUCCCAAAGUCAUGGUUAAGUGGGAAACGAUGUGGGAAGGCCCAGACAGCCAGGAUGUUGGCUUAGAAGCAGCCAUCAUUUAAAGAAAGCGUAAUAGCUCACUGGUCGAGUCGGCCUGCGCGGAAGAUGUAACGGGGCUAAACCAUGCACCGAAGCUGCGGCAGCGAACGUAUCACCCAAGACAACUUUACGGAGUUGACGAUUGACGGAGCGAAGCGACGUCAAAGCGUUCAUUAAAGUCGAGUUGGCUUAGGGAUACGUUCGUUGGGUAGGGGAGCGUUCUGUAAGCCUGUGAAGGUGUGUCGUGAGGCAUGCUGGAGGUAUCAGAAGUGCGAAUGCUGACAUAAGUAACGAUAAAGCGGGUGAAAAGCCCGCUCGCCGGAAGACCAAGGGUUCCUGUCCAACGUUAAUCGGGGCAGGGUGAGUCGACCCCUAAGGCGAGGCCGAAAGGCGUAGUCGAUGGGAAACGGGUUAAUAUUCCCGUACUUGGUGUUACUGCGAAGGGGGGACGGAGAAGGCUAUGUUGGCCGGGCGACGGUUGUCCCGGUUUAAGCGUGUAGGUGUGUGUUCCAGGUAAAUCCGGUUCACUUUAACACUGAGGCGUGACGACGAGGCACUACGGUGCUGAAGCAACAAAUGCCCUGCUUCCAGGAAAAGCCUCUAAGCAUCAGGUAACACGAAAUCGUACCCCAAACCGACACAGGUGGUCAGGUAGAGAAUACCAAGGCGCUUGAGAGAACUCGGGUGAAGGAACUAGGCAAAAUGGUGCCGUAACUUCGGGAGAAGGCACGCUGACACGUAGGUGAAGUGAUUUACUCAUGGAGCUGAAGUCAGUCGAAGAUACCAGCUGGCUGCAACUGUUUAUUAAAAACACAGCACUGUGCAAACACGAAAGUGGACGUAUACGGUGUGACGCCUGCCCGGUGCCGGAAGGUUAAUUGAUGGGGUCAGCGNAGGGAAACCGAGUCUUAACCGGGCGUUAAGUUGCAGGGUAUAGACCCGAAACCCGGUGAUCUAGCCAUGGGCAGGUUGAAGGUUGGGUAACACUAACUGGAGGACCGAACCGACUAAUGUUGAAAAAUUAGCGGAUGACCUGUGGCUGGGGGUGAAAGGCCAAUCAAACCGGGAGAUAGCUGGUUCUCCCCGAAAGCUAUUUAGGUAGCGCCUCGUGAAUUCAUCUCCGGGGGUAGAGCACUGUUUCGGCUAGGGGGCCAUCCCGGCUUACCAACCCGAUGCAAACUGCGAAUACCGGAGAAUGUUAUCACGGGAGACACACGGCGGGUGCUAACGUCCGUCGUGAAGAGGGAAACAACCCAGACCGCCAGCUAAGGUCCCAAAGUCAUGGUUAAGUGGGAAACGAUGUGGGAAGGCCCAGACAGCCAGGAUGUUGGCUUAGAAGCAGCCAUCAUUUAAAGAAAGCGUAAUAGCUCACUGGUCGAGUCGGCCUGCGCGGAAGAUGUAACGGGGCUAAACCAUGCACCGAAGCUGCGGCAGCGACGCUGAUGCGUUGUUGGGUAGGGGAGCGUUCUGUAAGCCUGCGAAGGUGACCUGUGAGGGUUGCUGGAGGUAUCAGAAGUGCGAAUGCUGACAUAAGUAACGAUAAAGCGGGUGAAAAGCCCGCUCGCCGGAAGACCAAGGGUUCCUGUCCAACGUUAAUCGGGGCAGGGUGAGUCGACCCCUAAGGCGAGGCCGAAAGGCGUAGUCGAUGGGAAACGGGUUAAUAUUCCCGUACUUGGUGUUACUGCGAAGGGGGGACGGAGAAGGCUAUGUUGGCCGGGCGACGGUUGUCCCGGUUUAAGCGUGUAGGUGUGUGUUCCAGGUAAAUCCGGUUCACUUUAACACUGAGGCGUGACGACGAGGCACUACGGUGCUGAAGCAACAAAUGCCCUGCUUCCAGGAAAAGCCUCUAAGCAUCAGGUAACACGAAAUCGUACCCCAAACCGACACAGGUGGUCAGGUAGAGAAUACCAAGGCGCUUGAGAGAACUCGGGUGAAGGAACUAGGCAAAAUGGUGCCGUAACUUCGGGAGAAGGCACGCUGACACGUAGGUGAAGUGAUUUACUCAUGGAGCUGAAGUCAGUCGAAGAUACCAGCUGGCUGCAACUGUUUAUUAAAAACACAGCACUGUGCAAACACGAAAGUGGACGUAUACGGUGUGACGCCUGCCCGGUGCCGGAAGGUUAAUUGAUGGGGUCAGCGUAAGCGAAGCUCCUGAUCGAAGCCCCGGUAAACGGCGGCCGUAACUAUAACGGUCCUAAGGUAGCGAAAUUCCUUGUCGGGUAAGUUCCGACCUGCACGAAUGGCGUAAUGAUGGCCAGGCUGUCUCCACCCGAGACUCAGUGAAAUUGAACUCGCUGUGAAGAUGCAGUGUACCCGCGGCAAGACGGAAAGACCCCGUGAACCUUUACUAUAGCUUGACACUGAACAUUGAGCCUUGAUGUGUAGGAUAGGUGGGAGGCUUUGAAGUGUGGACGCCAGUCUGCAUGGAGCCGACCUUGAAAUACCACCCUUUAAUGUUUGAUGUUCUAACGUGGACCCGUAAUCCGGGUUGCGGACAGUGUCUGGUGGGUAGUUUGACUGGGGCGGUCUCCUCCUAAAGAGUAACGGAGGAGCACGAAGGUUGGCUAAUCCUGGUCGGACAUCAGGAGGUUAGUGCAAUGGCAUAAGCCAGCUUGACUGCGAGCGUGACGGCGCGAGCAGGUGCGAAAGCAGGUCAUAGUGAUCCGGUGGUUCUGAAUGGAAGGGCCAUCGCUCAACGGAUAAAAGGUACUCCGGGGAUAACAGGCUGAUACCGCCCAAGAGUUCAUAUCGACGGCGGUGUUUGGCACCUCGAUGUCGGCUCAUCACAUCCUGGGGCUGAAGUAGGUCCCAAGGGUAUGGCUGUUCGCCAUUUAAAGUGGUACGCGAGCUGGGUUUAGAACGUCGUGAGACAGUUCGGUCCCUAUCUGCCGUGGGCGCUGGAGAACUGAGGGGGGCUGCUCCUAGUACGAGAGGACCGGAGUGGACGCAUCACUGGUGUUCGGGUUGUCAUGCCAAUGGCACUGCCCGGUAGCUAAAUGCGGAAGAGAUAAGUGCUGAAAGCAUCUAAGCACGAAACUUGCCCCGAGAUGAGUUCUCCCUGAGACUUAGAGUCUCCUGAAGGAACGUUGAAGACGACGACGUUGAUAGGCCGGGUGUGUAAGCGCAGCGAUGCGUUGAGCUAACCGGUACUAAUGAACCGUGAGGCUUAACCUU
rnacentral:rRNA from 1 species